AAUAGAUACCCUGGUAGUCCUAGCCGUAAACGAUGAACACUAGGCGUAGUCGGUAUCGACCCCGGCUGUGCCGUAGCUAACGCAUUAAGUGUUCCGCCUGGGGAGUACGGCCGCAAGGCUAAAACUCAAAGGAAUUGACGGUGGCCCGCACAAGCAGCGGAGCGUGUGGUUUAAUUCGUCGCAACGCGAAGAACCUUACCAGGGCUUGACAUGUGGCGGAAAACGGCGGAAACGUCGUCCUCCCGCAAGGGACCGUCAUGCAGGUGUUGCAUGGCUGUCGUCAGCCCGUGUCGUGAGAUGUUGGGUUAAGUCCCGCAACGAGCGCAACCCCCGUGGCAUGUUGUAUCUCUCAUGCCAGACUGCCGAGAGAAACUCGGAGGAAGGUGGGGAUGACGCCAAGUCAGCAUGGCCCUUACGUCCUGGGCUACACACACGCUACAAUGGCCGGUACAACGGGUUGCCAAACCGCGAGGUGGAGCUAAUCCCGUUAAAGCCGGUCUCAGUUCGGAUUGCAGGCUGCAACUCGCCUGCAUGAACG
rnacentral:rRNA from 1 species